CCACAUCCAUGUAGAAUUUUAUAUAGUCAGUGACACAGUCCACCUGUCCCUCCAAGUUGUCAUUAGUACCCUGUCUGACCAGAAGUGUGUUCCAGUCAGUAGACUGGAAACAGUCCCUCAGAGCUUCGCUGGUCUGAGGUCCACUUCCUGUGAGAUCUGUUGGUUACAGGCAGUCUCAUUACACGAGGUCUGUAGGAUGAAACUAGAUGGACCAAGUUAUGAUUUGACU